UCCUGGUGGUUCAGACGGUAAAGCGUCUGCCUGCAAUGCAGGAGACCUAGGUUCGACCCCUGGGUCAGGAA
rnacentral:tRNA from 1 species